rnacentral:rRNA from 1 species
UACGUAGGUGGCAAGCGUUGUCCGGAUUUACUGGGCGUAAAGAGCGCGCAGGCGGUCGUUCAAGUCGCGUGUGAAAGCCCCCGGCUCAACUGGGGAGGGUCACGCGAUACUGAUCGACUCGAAGGCAGGAGAGGGUAGUGGAAUUCCCGGUGUAGUGGUGAAAUGCGUAGAUAUCAGGAGGAACACCGGUGGUGUAGACGGCUUUCUGGACCGUAACUGACGCUGAGACACGAAAGCGUGGGGAGCAAACAGG